rnacentral:rRNA from 1 species
GACGAACGCUGGCGGCGUGCUUAACACAUGCAAGUCGAGCGGCGCGGCAAACGGGCGAGUAACGCGUGAGUAACUGCCCCCCUCUCUGGGAUAACAGUUGGAAACAGCUGCUAAUACCGGAUAGUGGGGGAUGACUCGCGUCCUAUCAGCUUGUUGGUGGGGUAGUGGCCCACCAAGGCGAAGACGGGUAGCCGGCCUGAGAGGGCGACGGGCCACAUGGGGCUAAGGUGCGGACCAAAGGCUUACGGGAGGCAGCGGUGGGGAAGAUGGCACAAUGGGGGAAACCGUGAUGGAGAAACGCCGGGUGCGGGAUGACGGCCUUCGGGUUGGAAACCGCUUGCAGCCAUGACGCGGUAGUGGCAGAAGAAGCACCGGCUAACUACGUGCCAGCAGCCGCGGUAAUUC